rnacentral:rRNA from 1 species
UACAGGGGGGGCAAGCGUUGUUCGGAAUUACUGGGCGUAAAGGGUCUGUAGGUGGCCAACUAAGUCAAACGUGAAAUCCCUCAGCUUAACUGGGGAACUGCGUCUGAUACUGGAUGGCUCGAGUGUGGGAGAGGAAUGCGGAAUUCCAGGUGUAGCGGUGAAAUGCGUAGAUAUCUGGAGGAACACCGGUGGCGAAGGCGGCAUUCUGGACCACAACUGACACUGAGAGACGAAAGCCAGGGGAGCGAACGGG